rnacentral:misc_RNA from 1 species
GAUUUAUCACAAAAAUUAGUUGGUUUACAGAAUUUUUCUUAUCAGCAUUAUGACUUAAAGUCAGUUAUUCAGCAUUCAAUUCAUGAACCAGUUGGCACCUGUUUGUCAACAAAUAGUGAAAAUGUUUAUGAACCUGUUGGCACCUAUUUUUCAAUGAACUGAUAUAGUGAACAUGUUAAUGAACCUGUAGGCAGCCGUUUGUUAGUGAACUGACAGAUACUGAACAAGUUCAUGAGUGUAAGCAGCUAUUUGUCAGAGAACUGGCAUAUAGUUUAUGAACCUGUAGGCAGCUGAACUGACAGACAGUUAACAUGUUUUUGAACAAUCAUUAAGAUUCCACCAGGCCCCUGUUUUGGUGUCUGCUAUUUUUUAUGUUGAUUUUCAAGUCAGGUUUUCAUCAAAGAAGCAUUAUAGAAUAGCUUGUGAUUAUUAUUAGUGUUCAAUUUAUAGUGUUACUUUACAAUUAUGAAAUGUUUGAAUAUUUGCAAAUGUACCUAGUUUGUUGAAAAGGAAAUAAAGAGUAUAUGUUU